rnacentral:rRNA from 1 species
CAAUGGCGCAAGCCUGAACGAGCGAUGCCGCGUGAGUGAAGAAGGCCUUCGGGUCGUAAAGCUCUGUUGCGGGGGAAAAAAGGCAGCAUCAGGAAAUGGGUGCUGACUGAUGGUGCCCCGCCAGAAAGUCACGGCUAACUACGUGCC